rnacentral:rRNA from 1 species
UUCGGCAACUAGCUCUCUGCACCUCUCACAUGGUCGCUCAUUGAAGUCAAGCAGAGCUGCGGCUGGUCAGUACCAGGAUGGGAGACCAAAUGGGAAAGCUAUAGGUUGCUGCCAAAA